rnacentral:rRNA from 1 species
UACGGGGGGGGCAAGCGUUGUCCGGAAUUACUGGGCGUAAAGCGUGCGCAGGCGGCUAUGCAAGACAGAUGUGAAAUCCCCGGGCUCAACCUGGGAACUGCAUUUGUGACUGCAUGGCUAGAGUACGGUAGAGGGGGAUGGAAUUCCGCGUGUAGCAGUGAAAUGCGUAGAUAUGCGGAGGAACACCGAUGGCGAAGGCAAUCCCCUGGACCUGUACUGACGCUCAUGCACGAAAGCGUGGGGAGCAAACAGG